ACUAACUAGGACUCUGUACUCCGUACUUUAUCUUAGCAUACUCGGGCUACCCUUAAGGUUAGUUGCCCGAUUCUUACCCUCAGUGAGUGAUAACUGUGAGCUUAUGAUGGUCCUCUGGAUGGGCCUGCCAUUGAUAGAACCACUUGAUUGCUUCCACUACUGAUACGAAGGACUUGCCCUUCGCGGCAUUGAGUUUGUCUGCUUGCAGCAAGCUGGGCGAAGACAUCAGAGGUGUUCCACUCUUUGCAUUGCAGACCAUUGCAGACCAUUGCCUGGCAGCAGACAUGGACCGAGUGGCCAUUGGCAGAGUCCUGAAGGGUAUAGGCAUCACGCUUGACGGCUGUCCAUGUGUACCAUGUACUGCUUAUAUGUCCAC
rnacentral:sRNA from 2 species